CUUGGACUACUUGCAUUGUAUAGUUGCCCGUAAUUCUACCAAUCAGAUCAUAACUGGUUCAGAAGAUGGAACUGCAAGAAUUUGGGAUUGCAAAAGUGGGAAGUGUGUCCAAGUAAUUGAUUCAGAGAANNNNNUCCUCAUUUGUUAGCUGCGUUGCUCUUGACGCAAGUGAGAGCUGGUUGGCUUUUAGCAAUGGUCAGAAUUUAUCAGUUUGGAAUCUUCCGGCUUCUGAAUGUGUUACAAGGGCUUCUAUUCGUGCAUCCAUACAGGAUGUGAUAUUUGAAGACAACCAAGUUUUAGCUGUUGGAGCUGAGCCUCUACUCAGCCGUUUCGACAUAAAUGGGGCAAUUGUUUCACAAAUACCAUGUGCUCCUCAGUCAGCAUUUUCUGUCUCUAUACACC
rnacentral:misc_RNA from 1 species